rnacentral:rRNA from 1 species
GACGAACGCUGGCGGCGUGCUUAACACAUGCAAGUCGAACGAAGUGGCGAACGGGUGAGUAACGCGUAAUCAACCUGCCCUUCAGAGGGGCACAACAGUUUAAAACGACUGCUAAUACCCCAUACUGACGGAGGGGACUGCGUCUGAUUAGCUAGUUGGAGGGGUAACGGCCCACCAAGGCGAUGAUCAGUAGGCGGUCUGAGAGGAGUGAUGGGCAAAACGGGGCUUGGAAAAGGCCCAGACUCCUACGGGAGGGAGCAGUGGGGAAUCGUGCGGAAUGGAAGAAAGUCUGAAGGAGCAAAGCCGCGUGAGUGAUGACGGCCUUUGGGUUGUAAAGACCUGUUAAUCGGAACGCGGUACCGGAACAGAAAGCCACGGCUAACUACGUGCCAGCAGCCGCGGUAAUUC